rnacentral:snRNA from 1 species
GCGUUUGCUUUGCCAGCACAUAUACUAAAAUUGGAAUGAACAGAGAAGAUCAUCAUGGCCCAUGCACAUGGAUGACAUGCAAAUGAAGUGUACCAUAUUUUU